rnacentral:lncRNA from 1 species
GCUUUUCAGGAGCUCCAUGGCCAGUUCACCUCCCCAUUCUGACACCUAACGCCGUGAGGCUCCGUCCUUGAAGAGAUGUAACAUGUUCUGGAGAAGAUGUCAAGGGUCACUUCGAAGUGUGCACAGGAAAGAAAACUGAUCCUGUAGCCACAGAAAAACAGGACUGAGACCAGGAAGGGCAAGUCGUGUGUGUCAGCAUUGUGGACCUUUAUAUAAAUAAUAAUUUUCCAGUGGGAACUGUGAUCUCUUCUUGUCUCUUCUAUUUUUAAAUGCUAAUUACUUCUGAUUUUGUUUACGUAGGCGGAGCUAAUAAGAACAUUUGCUUCAUAACCAUUGAACCUAAUGUAUCUGUUUUUGGACACUGGUGAUUUAUUUUUGCACACAUGCUCCA